ACAUGCCUACAACAUAGUGUUAAUUCUUUAGAUCCCAUUAGAACUCUGCAGUUAAGUGUGCUCAGGAUAUAGUAGUACUGGGAUGGGUGACCUCUUGGGAAGUCCUAGUGGUUUACAUGCA
rnacentral:rRNA from 1 species